AAGACAUGGGUGGUAAUGUGAAUUCCCAGAUAAUCUGAUUGCCAAGAACAUUAAAGAGGCCUCACUAGCAGAAGGGGGUCAGGAGAGAGUGAGGGCAGCACGGACUGAGCAGAGAGACACAGGCCUCGGAUCAGAAAGGCCCAGGGUGGAGCAGGCUGCCUUCUCUGGGAGGCGGGAACAAAGGGCUCUGUUUUCUAGGAGGUGGGCCAUUCUGCCUGCAGCCUCAGAGCUCCUGCCCAGCUCAGCAUCUUCUUCAAUUCAGCGUCUCCUCCAGGAGUAAAUGAGAUCGUACACAUCGAAUUACCUGGUGAUGGUUCACUGGAGGUGCUGAAUGAGAGAUUGGCUUUUUCCGCUUCACUGGCAGAAAUUGUCAUGGAGAGGCGACCGCAGGGAGGAGGAAAUGGAAACCUGGGGGAAAUCAGCUGGAUGUGGAGACCGGAGAGUGUGAUGGACAAAGGCCUCAAGAUGUCCUGAUUUCAGACACAGGAGAUCCCAGGAAGUGAACUCCCUCCCUGCCCCAAGGAAACAUCUGUCUGCCAGGAAGAUAAGGAGUCGCAAAUGACAUUAUUAUUUGGGUCUAGAACUUCCUGAGGGCAAACUGAUUUAAGUGAACAUCAGACUGCUGGAUAUUUCAGUAGAGAGUAUAAAAUGACAUUUAUACCCCAAGACUCAUCUAUAGCUUUGCCUGGGAACCCCUGCCUUUCUGUGUCCAUUAACCCUAAAGGAUUAUGGCAUGAUCCUUACCAGUCCUCAUCAAGCCCCUGCAUUGAAAGACCCACCUUAAACCAGACCCCGAAACCCCGUAAAUAUCUAAAGAUCCUAACUUGGUUCUCCCCACUCUAAGACUCUGUUAAGACCCUGUCAGGGUGGCAAUAAACUUGAUGACUGAA